GCGGGGGUCGCCAAGCGGCUAAGGCAGUCGGCUGCAACCCGACCAUCGAGAGUUCGAGUCUCUCCCCUCGCU
rnacentral:tRNA from 1 species